GAUGAACGCUGGCGGCGUGCCUAAUACAUGCAAGUCGAGCGAACAGACGGGGAGCUUGCUCCCCCGACGUUAGCGGCGGACGGGUGAGUAACACGUGGGUAACCUACCUAUAAGACUGGAAUAACUCCGGGAAACCGGGGCUAAUGCCGGAUAACAUGUUGGACCGCAUGGUCCUACAGUGAAAGACGGUCUUGCUGUCACUUAUAGAUGGACCCGCGCCGUAUUAGCUAGUUGGUAAGGUAACGGCUUACCAAGGCAACGAUACGUAGCCGACCUGAGAGGGUGAUCGGCCACACUGGAACUGAGACACGGUCCAGACUCCUACGGGAGGCAGCAGUAGGGAAUCUUCCGCAAUGGGCGAAAGCCUGACGGAGCAACGCCGCGUGAGUGAUGAAGGCCUUCGGGUCGUAAAACUCUGUUAUUAGGGAAGAACAAAUGUGUAAAUAACUAUGCACGUCUUGACGGUACCUAAUCAGAAAGCCACGGCUAACUACGUGCCAGCAGCCGCGGUAA
rnacentral:rRNA from 1 species